rnacentral:lncRNA from 1 species
CAGGCCUGGAACAUGGUUGCCAGUCAAUAAUGCGGCUGUAACUUUACCUAGCCUGAUCAUGCUGUUUAUACCAACUCUUAGGAUCAAUCUGCUAUCAUGGUUACCAGUGAGUGGGUGACCGGCCUGCCGUCUUGACCAGGUACAGGGCCUGCCACACUUGGGUAGAUGAAAUAAAACAGAGGGUCAGAUUACAAACUUAAGGCUCUUUACUAAAACCCUUGGAGGAUUUUUGAUGGGGAAAUGGAGGUAAGAGGAGGGAAGGGGCAAUGGUGGGAUUUGGAGAUGCCACUUGUCUGGGCUGUAACUGUUCCUGGGUUCAAGGUUCUGUUGUCAUUGCAAGGCUUGUGCUUGAGGUGGGGAAGGCAGAGCAGGAAACUAGACCCCUGGAGUAUAAGCAGAUCCUGGAAAUACCUCAAUGGCAGAUCCCUCCUGUUGUCUGUCCUGGCCACCCACCCCUUAGCAAGGAGCCCGCGUGGCCGAGGCUGUCCUAGGACACAGGGUUCUGUCUACCUGGGCAUAUUUUCAGGCUCCAGCUGGCAAGGCAGCCCUGCCAAUUGUUGCAGAGGAGCAAGUGCUGGAAGAAGAGCGAGCGAGAUCACAGGGAAUUUAUUAGCAUCCCAGAUUCAUCUUCUUUUCCUUUCUAGGCCUUCUCUCUACCUCCCCCACACCCACCUCAGCAAUUUUUUCCCCCCUUAGAGUAGCUGAGGGAAUCUGUCAAAGCCAGGCCAGGAGCUUGCCUUUUCUGGUAUCUUUUCUAAAGACACAGCAUUUAGCUCUCACCAGAUGGGAACCUGUCAGCUCAGCAGGCAGAUAAUUAUCCUUUCAGCCGUGGGAGGCCUUAGCAUGAAUGGCAAUUCAGGCAUUUGCUGCAGCUGUGGCCCCAAA